UACGAAGGGGGCUAGCGUUGCUCGGAAUCACUGGGCGUAAAGCGCACGUAGGCGGAUCUUUAAGUCAGGGGUGAAAUCCCAAGGCUCAACCUUGGAACUGCCUUUGAUACUGGGGAUCUCGAGUCCGGAAGAGGUUGGUGGAACUGCGAGUGUAGAGGUGAAAUUCGUAGAUAUUCGCAAGAACACCAGUGGCGAAGGCGGCCAACUGGUCCGGUACUGACGCUGAGGUGCGAAAACGUGGGGAGCAAACAGG
rnacentral:rRNA from 1 species